rnacentral:rRNA from 1 species
UACAGAGGUCUCAAGCGUUGUUCGGAUUCAUUGGGCGUAAAGGGUGCGUAGGCGGUGAUGUAAGUUGGAUGUGAAAUCCCAGGGCUUAACCCUGGAACUGCAUUCAAUACUGCAUUGCUAGAGUACUGGAGAGGAGAUUGGAAUUCACGGUGUAGCAGUGAAAUGCGUAGAUAUCGUGAGGAAGACCAGUGGCGAAGGCGAAUCUCUGGACAGUUACUGACGCUGAGGCACGAAGGCUAGGGGAGCAAACGGG